AGAUUGAACGCUAGCGGCAUGCCUAACACAUGCAAGUCGAACGGUAACAGGCCCUUCGGGGUGCUGACGAGUGGCGGACGGGUGAGUAAUGCGUAGGAAUCUACCCACGAGUGGGGGAUAGCCCGGAGAAAUCCGGAUUAAUACCGCAUAUGCCCUACGGGGUAAAGCGGGGGAUCGUAAGACCUCGCGCCGUGGAGUGAGCGACGCCGGUACUUAGUACGUUAGUUGGUGGGGUAAACGGCCUACCAAGGCUACGAUCGGUAGCUGGUCUGAGAGGACG
rnacentral:rRNA from 1 species